ACGACCUUACUUGAACAUGAUCUGUUCUAUAGUCUCAUACCUCUGUAUCCUUGAUUUCUAAGGAGAUAGGAAACCAUGUCUGGUGGAUGAACCAUGGCUGCCUGACUAGAGCGUGAUUAACAGCCCCUCAGGUAGGGUUCCCAGCUCGUUGUGUAGUAGAGAUGAUCGUUCUUGGCUAGACUUUGGUCCGGUCAAGAUGGCAAUGCAGCUGUCUGACAGACU